AUAACCUUUAAAUGAGUCCAGAGAGGCUUGAAAGGUCGGACAGAGUGAAACAGCAGGUUCUCCUGUGAUUUUUUGUGCGACCUUGCCAUAUGGUGAGGUUUUUUUGAU
rnacentral:sRNA from 1 species